CUAUCACUAGUCAACAGUAGUAAGGUCCGACCUAAGAAGACCCAAAGGAUAGAGACCCAACUCGCAGCUCACCUCGCUUCCAUUUUCUGCAUAUCUCCUUGUCUGGAUUUGUGAGAAAGAAAAAGCUAAGAAAACCCAAAGGCAUGCAACUAUGGCCUAUGAAAACAAAUCCAUGUAUCUGGACUCUCCCCAACGAAAAUUGGUUUGGGGAAAGAUCGAGGUCAAGCGGAUCGAAGACACAUCAAACCGUCAAGUCACCUUCUGCAAAAGGAGCAAUGGGUUGCUCAAGAAGGCCCUAUGAACUCUCUCUACUCUGUGAUGCAGAGGUUG